GGCAAGUUUUUCCUUGGCUAUA
rnacentral:miRNA from 1 species